UACAGGGGGUGCAAACGUUGCUCGGAAUCAUUGGGCGUAAAGCGCACGUAGGCGGUCCGUUAUGUCGGAUGUGAAAGCCCUUGGCUCAACUAAGGAAGUGCAUCCGAAACUGGCAGGCUGGAGUACUAAAGAGGGUCGCGGAAUUCCCGGUGUAGAGGUGAAAUUCGUAGAUAUCGGGAGGAACACCGGUGGCGAAGGCGGCGACCUGGGUAGAUACUGACGCUGAGGUGCGAAAGCGUGGGGAGCAAACAGG
rnacentral:rRNA from 1 species